GCUAGCUUUGGCAGCAUGUGCUCUAAAUGUGGAAAGACACGGAGAAGAUUAGCGUGGUCACUGCAGAAGGAUGCCGUGCAAAUUCAUGAAGUGUUCCAUAUUUUU
ensembl:snRNA U6 U6 spliceosomal RNA